CAGGAAGCCACUGGAUUGGGAAGAAAAAAGAACCCUGUGUCAGAAAAUUCCAGGACAGUUGGCAGACAGUUGGCCAGGACAAGAGACAUAAGGGGCAGGAUGGAAAACAGGCUGGAAGAUAAAAACAAAACAAAAUGAUCCUCAACCCUUUGUACACUCAGAACAUGUCCAGGCAGCUUUAUUUUGAGGAGUCACUAUGCUGCUUCUACAAAUCUAAUCCUUACAGUACAACAGGAGUCAGCAACACACAGGCUCCAGUGGCCCCUCCAAAACAGCUCCUAUAACCCCUACAUUAUAUUACAAUUAAAAUAACCAUUAAAUAAUUUACAAGCAACAAUUUAUUUUAAAAAUUAAGAAAUUACACAAAUCUCACCAGAUCACUAAAUAUACAGUAUCAGUUGGAUGCAACCUCUGAGUCCAUAUAAGUUAGAAGAAUCAAUAAGGACAUCUUGCUUUCCAUUGUGAGCAUUCAGGAUACUGGAGAAAUAGUGGGAAGCUGUCAUUCCCAAAGACUUUCCAUAGUAUUUGUGUCUACAACAA